rnacentral:tRNA from 1 species
GGUUGUGGCUCAGCAGUAGAGCGCUCGCCUAGCAUGUGUAAGGCCUUAGGUUCGAUCCUUAGCACCA